UACGUAGGGGGCAAGCGUUAUCCGGAUUUACUGGGUGUAAAGGGGGCGCAGACGGCGAUGCAAGCCAGGAGUGAAAGCCCGGGGCCCAACCCCGGGACUGCUCUUGGAACUGCGUGGCUGGAGUGCAGGAGGGGCAGGCGGAAUUCCUGGUGUAGCGGUGAAAUGCGUAGAUAUCAGGAGGAACACCGGUGGCGAAGGCGGCCUGCUGGACUGCAACUGACGUUGAGGCCCGAAGGCGUGGGGAGCAAACAGG
rnacentral:rRNA from 1 species